ensembl:lncRNA CMKLR2-AS CMKLR2 antisense RNA
ACACGGAGGUCCUGGAAAUGGUGGCGCGCCCAGAGGGCAUGGAAGCUCCGCGCCCCUUCCCACAGACCUUGUCCCGUGCAUCGCUUCCAUCCGGCUCUUCCUGAGUUCUGGCCCUUGUAGUAAACCUGCAGUCUUGAUCAAUUUUCUCUCAGGAGGCUCUUCAUUGACUCAUGCAAACAGAUUUCUGGCGGGAACUGCUCCAAGGCCUUCCAGAUGUGCACAGGCAUGGAUGAAUCAGAGCAGAAGUGGACAGAUGUAGCUCAAAUGGAGGGUUCUGCUAUAAUCUCAAUAAGUAUCCAGGCUGGAGUGCAGUGGCGCGAUCUCGGCUCACUGAAACCUCUGCCUCCCAGGUUCAAGCGAUUCUCCUGCCUCAGCCUCUCGAAUAGCUGGGAUUACAGGCAACUACCAUUUUUCCCCCUCUGUCUUUUGAUGUUCACCUGACAAGCUCCUGGUGGUAGCCGGUAGCUCUGACAGAGAGCAAAAGAAAUAAGGGGCGGUUUUAGCUGAUAACCUCACCAGUCUUCACUUCGGCUCUUCCUUCGCUGCCCCUUCAGCUGCGGGGAACUUGCUCUAGGGCAUCUUGGCAGGAGGGAGGGCGUCUGAGGGUACUGGUGCCUGCAGACUUCAAGCACGGAGAGACUUCUUGAAGCGGUGCUGCCUGGCCACUUGGAAAAAGGUGGAUUAAUUUGGGGAUAUCCGAGGAGCCCCAGAGGGCCAUUGUAAUUCAAGAUCUUCAGUAAACUUCUGCCGCGGAGAAAGAACCCGGCCAGUAUUGGGACCAUCGUGGUGACGCAGGAUUGGAGGAACAGGGGUUUCGGUUGACUGAGAAGUUCCUGUGAGAGAAACAGGCUCAAAUAGAGAGAAUAGAAAGAUGUCGUGAGGAGCCAGGAAACAAAAUUUUCCAGGGGUCAGGGAAUGAAUUCUAAUCAGAACAAGGAGCCAGCAAGAACUUCCAGCCUAGGAGGUACUUUUCAAAAGAAGCCUGGGACUCUAACCCAGCUUCUGAGAGUAUACUCAGAAUUGUUAAGAAUCAGGCAGGGCGCGGCGGCUCAUGCCUGUAAUCCCAGCACUUUGGGAGGCUGAGGCGGGUGGAUCACUUGAGGUCCGGAGUGUGAGAUCAGCCUGACUAACAAGAUGAAACCCCAUCUCUACUAAAAAAAUACAAAAUUAGCUGGGCGUCGUAGCGCAUGCCUGUAAUCCCAGCUACUUGGGAGGCUGAGGCAGGAGAAUUGCUUGAACCCAGGAGGUGGAGGUUGCAGUGAGCCAAGAUCGCGCCCUUGCACUCCAGCCUGGGCAACAAGAGUGAAACUCUGCCUCGGAGGGAAAAAAAAAAAAAAAGAAUUGAAAGAAUGAAAACCUGUCCUCAAUGUGCCUGAAUAAAUGCUUGUUCAGACACUGGAUGUGAAGUCCGAUUCUCCACUGGAUACCCAAACUGCAGGAGGUAGGUGGUUCCCAUCUGGACCCGAGUUGCCUACCAGACCAUUGUCAGAAACACAGCUGGACGUGAGUUAAAGUGGUGAAAAAACAGAUUUUAUUCAGUAACUACUGAAAGUAGGGAAGGAGCUGAGCUUAUUCCGAUUUCGGCAGAGGUGAUUUGGGUGUUUUAAAGAAAGAAUGAGGGAGACGGGAAUAAAGGAGCUCCGAAGUGUCGGGGAAGUGAAAAAGUGCAAAGGGGAGCUUCCGGAUAGCGAAGCACGUGGAGGUUCCUGGAGGGUGUCCUCCCAGAGAGGACGUGGAACCUUCCCGCUCCCACCGCGCACUUGCCCUGUGUAUCUCUUCCCUUUGGCUGUUCAUCUACAUACGUGGUAGUUUCCUUUAUAGUAAACUAAUAAACGGAAAUUUGCAGCAGCUGUGAAAAACUUCAAUUUUCUGAAUCCACUUUUGAUUUUUAGUGGCGAUUGCUUAAAUGCCUCAGUUUUAAGUAUCAUAACGAAAGGAAAGCAUACGAUUCCUAUAUUAAUGAAUCGGAAGUACCUUUUGCAGUUUUUGUUUUGCUUUUUCAGACAAGGUCUUAUUCUGUCAUCCAGGCUGGAGUGCAUUGGUGGGAACACAGCUCACUACCUACUCAGCCUCCUGAGCUCAAGCGAUCCUCCCACCUCAGCCUCUCAAGUGGCUAGGACCACAGGCACCCACGCACUACACCGCCUAACUAAUGUUUUGUUUUAUAUUAUAUUAUUUUAUUUUAUAGAGACAGAGGUCUCACCAUGUCGACCAGGCUAGUUUUGAACUCCUGGCCUCAAGCAAUCCUCCUCCCACCUCAGCCUCCCAAAGUGCUAAAAUGAUAGGUGUGAGCCACUGCACCCGGUGAUUUUGCAGUUUUUGGAAACCACAAGUUUGAUUUCGGUGUGAAUAUUUUGGAAGAAUCUAUGAAACAAAUGCACUUCAUCUGAUUUCUCAGUAAUGUUGAUGAUAGAUUUACUUCUGAACCUCUUGGACGUGUGUAUGUUAGAAGUUCUCCACCCAAUUGAUACGGAAUUAAAUAGCUGUGAAAUUACUGUAAGAAGAACCGAAGCAACGUUGGAAAUUUGGUAACUAAUGCCACGUUGGAAGCUAUUCAUGCCAAUGUAGCAUUGCUUCAUACAGGUACUUCCAGAUCUAAUUGAAUACAUCCAGUGGGAAAUUUC